GAUUCACAAAUCCACUGCCUUGGCUACAUCCGCCC
rnacentral:tRNA from 1 species